ACUCCUACGGGGAGGCAGCAGUGGGGGAAUAUUGCACAAUGGGCGCAAGCCUGAUGCAGCCAUGCCGCGUGUGUGAAGAAGGCCUUCGGGUUGUAAACCUCUGUUAGCAGGGAAGAAGAGAGAUUGACGGUACCUGCAGAGUAAAGGCGCCGGCUAACUACGUAGCCAGCAGCCGCGGUAAUACGUAGGGCGCGAGCGUUGUCCGGAAUUAUUGGGCGUAAAGAGCUUGUAGGCGGUUUGUCGCGUCUGCUGUGAAAUGGCCGGAGCUUAACUCCGUGUAUUGCAGUGGGUACGGGCAGACUAGAGUGCA
rnacentral:rRNA from 1 species